CAUUGUCAAAACACUUAAGAAAACCAUUAUAUAGUCUACAUAAGUAUAGAUACAUACAUACAUCAAAAAACCAGGGGAAACAAAGGAUUAGGACAUACUAAAAUAAUAGGGGGAGAAGGAAAGAAAGCAAAAAAAAGAAUCAACAAACAAAAAAAAAGAAAAAAAAGAAACAUUGCCAGAAAUGUACAUAAAUAACAUCCAUAACUGUUCUUAAAGUGGGGCUAUAUUGAGCCUCUCAAAAAUACAGUUUGUUUUCAUGGCUUUUUUAUUUUUAAUGUCUUUUAUUGUUAUUGCAUAUUGGUGGAUUUCUUGGGUGAAUUGUUGCAGGCUGGGUUUUGAUUCUGCCCAUUUUUUUGUGGAUAUGGAAUUGGGCCAUAAGCAGUAAGUGUCCGACCUCACCGCAGCCUGUUGGCCCCGCCUCCUGCUGCAGCCGCCUGCUUUUGCCUACGUCACAGGUGAGGCGCAGUUCAUCUCCAACGAGCCUAAUGUCCUCUGUGCGCGUGUCAAACUACAGUAAGUGACAUCGGCUACCUUCGUCUCUGUAGGUCCUCUUCCUCCGAACAGAACAAACAAAGUCACAUAAACACGCAAACAAUCACUUGAAUUAACGCCUUUAUUCUGAAAAACCCUCCCGGAAACGUCUUAGUUGUUCUUCCGGGCAGCAGAGCAGCAACAGCAGCAGCAGAAGAAGAAGACGUUGUCAGAUAGCAUUAGCAUUAGUGCUAGCCGUUCAGUUAGCUCAUACUUGAAGAGGAGCCUGCGGAUUAAAGCUCACGCGACUCUGCUGACGUGUGAUGUAGGAGUCAUGUCCAUGUGUCUCUGUCUGUCCUCAGGUGUGAUGUAGGAAUCAUGUCCAGGUGUCUCUGUUUCUGUCUGUCCUCAGAUGUGAUGUAGGAGUCAUGUCCAUGUGUCUCUUUCUGUCCUCAGGUGUGAUGUAGGAAUCAUGUCCAGGUGUCUCUUUUUGUCCUCAGGUGUGAUGUAAGGAUCAUGUCCAGGUGUCUCUUUCUGUCCUCAGGUGUGAUGUAAGGAUCAUGUCCAGGUGUCUCUGUCUCUGUCUGUCCUCAGGUGUGAUGUAGGAAUCAUGUCCAGGUGUCUCUGUCUGUCCUCAGGUGUGAUGUAGGAAUCAUGUCCAGGUGUCUCUGUCUCUGUCUGUCCUCAGGUGUGAUGUCGGAAUCAUGUCCAGGUGUCUCUGUCUCUGUCUGUUCUCAGGUGUGAUGUAGGAAUCAUGUCC